rnacentral:rRNA from 1 species
GAUGAACGCUAGCGACAGGCCUAACACAUGCAAGUCGAGGGGCAGCACAUGAGUAGCAAUACGAUGGUGGCGACCGGCGCACGGGUGAGUAACACGUAUGCAACCUACCUGUAAGAGGGGAAUAACACGGAGAAAUUCGGACUAAUACCGCAUAAUACCGCUGAACUGCAUGGUUUAGUGGUUAAACAUUUAUGGCUUACAGAUGGGCAUGCGUAUGAUUAGCUAGUUGGUGAGGUAACGGCUCACCAAGGCAACAAUCAUUAGGGGUUCUGAGAGGAAGGUCCCCCACACUGGUACUGAGACACGGACCAGACUCCUACGGGAGGCAGCAGUGAGGAAUAUUGGUCAAUGGGCGAGAGCCUGAACCAGCCAAGUCGCGUGAAGGAAGAAGGUUCUAUGGAUUGUAAACUUCUUUUGUAAGGGAAUAAAAAAGAGUACGUGUACUCUAUUGUAUGUACUUUACGAAUAAGGAUCGGCUAACUCCGUGCCAGCCGCCGCAGUAAGAC